GGGGACGUAAUGGAAUCGACAGGAUUGACUUUCGAUUAGUAAGCAUGCCGGAGAAACAUUGCUCACUCCGUCAAUAAAUGGUAAUGAACUUUUUACAUGGCAAUUCUAAUUAUGCCAUUGCUGCCUAAUUCUAGGAAUUAGAAAGCUUUUAUGCCUCUUGCUUGAUGCCUAAUACACAGCAGGACUGCAUAUCAACAACUCCUUAGGCUGGCUUGAAAGGGUAUCUCCCCCGGAUAGUGAGACUUUUAGAGGUUAAGGUCAGUACUGGUCUGUUUGUAAACCAUCCACUGACUCGAAAAUCUAAUUAUAAACUAAGCAUGUAGAAGGCUCUUUGAUGCUUUCUCUGGACGCGAGUUCGACUCUCGCCGUCUCCAC
rnacentral:tmRNA from 1 species